CUCCAUUCCUGGGAUUUAAUUCCACAUUAACCAUUACAUAGGGAACACCCCUCCUGAUUUAUUUCAUUUCUGGUUGCUGCUGCUGCUGUUCUUCCUGGUCAAAGGAUGAGAGAAGCUGCUGCCUUUGGGUAUUGUUGCCUGGAGGUAUCGUUCCACCCCGGGAUCUGCUCUGACAGCCAGGGGAUGCUCAAAUGUGGCAUAAAAGCUAAUAAGCUGCCCUCAAAGAGAGAAGUGCUGCUGGGAGGUGCAGGAGGUUGCUGUUUCAGCUCCAUGCCUCCACAUGAGCAAACUGAAUUGGGUAAAAGAGGAUUUUGGUUUCUGUGAACCAGGGUUUACGUGCUGAGUUAUCCCACGCUGCUGCUUUUCGCCAUCCAUGUGGACCUGCUGGAGUCUCGUCUUUGGAUAAUGGGAUAAUUCCCUCACAGCAAACGUCUGAUGAAUUCAGCUUCUGAUUCCUUGGAAAUCGCCUCUGGAGACGGUGCUGAAGAUUUCUACACAUGCGAUCCAACUCCUGGGCUGCAUCGCCCUCAGCACUGGAAUUGGAGAGCUCCUGGGAGCAGUGAGAGCUGAGUUCCUCCAUCUGCACUGCUCUGGAAGGGUGUGAGCAUCCCUGUUGCUGUUGAAGAAGAGCAAUGCUGACUGAGAAGCAGUGUCCCAGCAGCGUGGUGACGGGUGCAUGGCAGCCUAGAGGACGAAGCAAGGAGCCCUGAUGGAUUUUUCCCAGAACAGGAAGGAUUUCAGAAGAAAGCAGCAGUGCUGGCAGGGAUCUGCAUGUUGAAGUUGAAGGAAGCAGGGAGAGCCCAAGGCAGUGAGCACCAACACAGGAGGGAGCCUGGUAGGUGGUGAGGUGUGGGCUUCCAGUUGUGGAAACCAAAGGUAGGAGUGCUUCUUCCCUUCUUUUCUAAUAAGAUUCUUCCCCAAAGCGGGACGAGCCCAUUUUCAUCUCACUGCCAGUGUUACCAGAGCCAGAUGUUUUGUUUUGCCUUCUUUUCCACCCCCAGGAUGGACAAGGAUGAGGGUGGUUUUUCAGGGGAAGAGGUGGGGGCUGUGAGUGCUAGGGCUGCCACUGCCCAGGUGCAACCAGUAAGGAUAGGCAGCACUCAUCCCAGCUUCUCCACAUCUCCUGGCCAAGACUCAGCCCUGGGUCUCCAGGCACCAAUGAAGCUGCUCUCCCUUUGGCUCCUGGGAAAUAAACUGUAGUUGAACAUUCAACUACAUCUUGUUUUAUAACUUACCAUGCCCCAGCUUACCUGACCGCUCCCUGUGCUUUGGCCUCAUCUGUGAAUUGGAGAACUGGUCAGCUCUUGGAGGUAUCCAUUUCACCUUCUGCUGCCACAGCCCCUGGUGUGGGGUGACUGCUCAGACUCGGGCAAGGGGGUGCCAAAACAAAGCCCAAUGUGAGCAUCUGCAUUGAGCAGCACCUUGCAGAGCAACAGCUGCACACACAGAACCACUAGUUUUCAAAUACUUUUAAAUUAUCUUAUGUUAUUUCCCUUCUUGUAUAUAUUUUUCCUUUCUCAGCUGUCAUGCAUCAGCCCUGCUCCUCCAGCCUGCACUGACGAUUAAGGCCAGGAGGGGCACACCUCUAUUAAUGAAGAGCAGUGCUGCGGG
ensembl:lncRNA